UACGUAGGGGGGCGAGCGUUUAUCCGGAAUUACUGGGCGUAAAGCGCACGCAGGCGGUUCGCCAAGUUUGGAGUGACAGUUGUCGGCUCAACCGACAAAGGACUUCAAAACUGGUGAACUUGAGGACGAGAGAGGAACAUGGAACUCCAGGUGUAGUAGUGAAAUGCGUAGAUAUCUGGAAGAACACCAAUGGCGAAGGCAAUGUUCUGGCUCGUUUCUGACGCUCAGGUGCGAAAGCCAGGGGAGCGAACGGG
rnacentral:rRNA from 1 species